rnacentral:rRNA from 1 species
GGCCAUCACUUGGGGAUAACCUUGCGAAAGUAAGACUAAUACCCAAUGACGUCUCUAGAAGACUUCUGAAAGAGAUUAAAGAUUUAUCGGUGAUGGAUGGGGAUGCGUCUGAUUAGCUUGUUGGCGGGGUAACGGCCCACCAAGGCGACAAUCAGUAGGGGUUCUGAGAGGAAGGUCCCCCACAUUGGAACUGAGACACGGUCCAAACUCCUUACGGGAGGCAGCAGUGAGGAAUAUUGGUCAAUGGACGAGAGUCUGGACCAGCCAAGUAGCGUGCAGGAUGACGGCCCUAUGGGUUGUAAACUGCUUUUAUAAAGGGAAUAAAGUGAGCCUCGUGAGGCUUUUUGCAUGUACCUUAUGAAUAAGGACCGGCUAAUUCCGUGCCAGCAGCCGCGGUAAUACGGAAGGUCCGGGCGUUAUCCGGAUUUAUUGGGUUUAAAGGGAGCGUAGGCCGGAGAUUAAGCGUGUUGUGAAAUGUAGAUGCUCAACAUCUGCACUGCAGCGCGAACUGGUUUCCUUGAGUACGCACAAAGUGGGCGGAAUUCGUGGUGUAGCGGUGAAAUGCUUAGAUAUCUCGAAGAACUCCGAUUGCGAAGGCAGCUCACUGGAGCGCAACUGACGCUGAAGCUCGAAAGUGCGGGUAUCGAACAGGAUUAGAUACCCUGGUAGUCCGCACGGUAAACGAUGGAUG